GGUCCCGUGGUGUAGCGGUUAGCACUCAGGACUCUGAAUCCUGCGACGGAGUUCAAAUCUCCCCGGGACCU
rnacentral:tRNA from 1 species